AACGAACGCUGGCGGCAGGCCUAACACAUGCAAGUCGAACGCCCCGCAAGGGGAGUGGCAGACGGGUGAGUAACGCGUGGGAACGUGCCCUUCGGUUCGGAAUAACUCAGGGAAACUUGAGCUAAUACCGGAUACGUCCGUAAGGAGAAAGAUUUAUCGCCGAAGGAUCGGCCCGCGUCGGAUUAGCUAGUUGGUGAGGUAACGGCCCACCAAGGCGACGAUCCGUAGCUGGUCUGAGAGGAUGANCAGCCACACUGGGACUGAGACACGGCCCAGACUCCUACGGGAGGCAGCAGUGGGGAAUAUUGGACAAUGGGCGAAAGCCUGAUCCAGCCAUGCCGCGUGAGUGAAGAAGGCCUUAGGGUUGUAAAGCUCUUUCAGCGGGAAGAUAAUGACGGUACCCGCAGAAGAAGCCCCGGCUAACUUCGUGCCAGCAGCCGCGGU
rnacentral:rRNA from 1 species